UGGGGAAUAUUGCACAAUGGGCGCAAGCCUGAUGCAGCCAUGCCGCGUGUGUGAAGAAGGCCUUCGGGUUGUAAAGCACUUUCAGCGAGGAGGAAGGUGGUGAGCUUAAUACGCUCAUCAAUUGACGUUACUCGCAGAAGAAGCACCGGCUAACUCCGUGCCAGCAGCCGCGGUAAUACGGAGGGUGCAAGCGUUAAUCGGAAUUACUGGGCGUAAAGCGCACGCAGGCGGUUUGUUAGGUCAGAUGUGAAAUCCCCGGGCUCAACCUGGGAACUGCAUUUGAAACUGGCAAGCUAGAGUCUCGUAGAGGGGGGUAGAAUUCCAGGUGUAGCGGUGAAAUGCGUAGAGAUCUGGAGGAAUACCGGUGGCGAAGGCGGCCCCCUGGACGAAGACUGACGCUCAGGUGCGAAAGCGUGGGGCAGCAAACAGGAUUAGAUACCCUGGUAGUCCACGCUGUAAAACGAUGUCGAUUUGGAGGUUGUGCCCUUGAGGCGUGGCUUCCGGAGCUAACGCGUUAAAUCGACCGCCUGGGGAGUACGGCCGCAAGGUUAAAACUCAAAUGAAUUGAC
rnacentral:rRNA from 1 species